rnacentral:sRNA from 1 species
GCUGGGCACGGUGGUGCAUGCCUGUAAUCCCAGCAACUCAGGAGACUGAGGCAGGAGAAUCAUGAGUUCAAAGUCAACCUCAGCAAUUUAGCAAGGCCCUGAGCAACUCAGUGAGACCCUGUCUCUA